rnacentral:rRNA from 1 species
AGUGAACGCUGGCGGUAGGCCUAACACAUGCAAGUCGAACGGCAGCACAGUAAGAGCUUGCUCUUACGGGUGGCGAGUGGCGGACGGGUGAGGAAUACAUCGGAAUCUACUUUUUCGUGGGGGAUAACGUAGGGAAACUUACGCUAAUACCGCAUACGACCUACGGGUGAAAGCAGGGGAUCUUCGGACCUUGCGCGAUUGAAUGAGCCGAUGUCGGAUUAGCUAGUUGGCGGGGUAAAGGCCCACCAAGGCGACGAUCCGUAGCUGGUCUGAGAGGAUGAUCAGCCAAACUGGAACUGAGACACGGUCCAGACUCCUACGGGAGGGAGCAGUGGGGAAUAUUGGACAAUGGGCGCAAGCCUGAUCCAGCCAUACCGCGUGGGUGAAGAAGGCCUUCGGGUUGUAAAGCCCUUUUGUUGGGAAAGAAAAGCAGCAGGUUAAUACCCCGCUGUUCUGACGGUACCCAAAGAAUAAGCACCGGCUAACUUCGUG